GGUCAAGCUAAUCAGAGCUGACGGUGG
rnacentral:rRNA from 1 species